rnacentral:rRNA from 1 species
GCAUAUCAAUAAGCGGAGGAAAAGAAACCAACAGGGGAUUGCCCCAGUAACGGCGAGUGAAGCGGCAACAGCUCAAAUUUGAAAUCUGGCCCUUCGGGUCCGAGUUGUAAUUUGUAGAGGAUGCUUUUGGCGAGGUGCCUUCCGAGUUCCCUGGAACGGGACGCCAUAGAGGGUGAGAGCCCCGUCUGGUCGGACUCCCGAGCCUCUGUAAAGCUCCUUCGACGAGUCGAGUAGUUUGGGAAUGCUGCUCAAAAUGGGAGGUAUAUGUCUUCUAAAGCUAAAUAUUGGCCAGAGACCGAUAGCGCACAAGUAGAGUGAUCGAAAGAUGAAAAGCACUUUGAAAAGAGGGUUAAAAAGUACGUGAAAUUGUUGAAAGGGAAGCGCCUAUGACCAGACUUGGGCCCGGUGAAUCAUCCAGCGUUCUCGCUGGUGCACUUUGCCGGGCACAGGCCAGCAUCAGUUUGGCGCGGGGGAAAAAGGCUUUGGGAAUGUGGCUCCCUCGGGAGUGUUAUAGCCCAUUGUGUAAUACCCUGCGCCGGACUGAGGUACGCGCUUUGCAAGGAUGCUGGCGUAAUGGUCAUCAGCGACCCGUCUUGAAACACGGACCAAGGAGUCGUCUUCGUAUGCGAGUGUUCGGGUGUCAAACCCCUACGCGUAAUGAAAGUGAACGCAGGUGAGAGCUUCGGCGCAUCAUCGACCGAUCCUGAUGUUCUCGGAUGGAUUUGAGUAAGAGCAUACGGGGCCGGACCCGAAAGAAGGUGAACUAUGCCUGUAUAGGGUGAAGCCAGAGGAAACUCUGGUGGAGGCUCGCAGCGGUUCUGACGUGCGAAUCGAUCGUCAAAUAUGGGCAUGGGGGGCGAAAGACUAAUCGAACCUUUCUAGUAGCUGGGUUUCCGCCG